GUAGAAAGGGCUAUGGGCAUUUAGUUGUUUUCACUGGUUAUUUUCAUGCACUUCCUUAGUUUAGCUAUAGGACUCUUAUUUUGACAUCGCUAGUUCAGGAUGUGACAUUACGCAUCCCUCCAUCUUUGUUUUUAGUUCAGAUGCAUUGAUUUUGCCUUACCUAACUUCCGAAAGUUUCCUCCUUUUAUCUUAAGUAAUCCUGUGUUUGUGAGCAUAAAUGACCAAAACCAGCCUAUGAUCACAGGUGAUGCAGUGAUUGGUGAUGGCUAUGGUUUUCUUCCCACUGAACUAAACAUGCUAAAACGGAAAAGAAGACAAGAGGACGUGUCAUCCAUGGCAGUGUGUCAUUCUCCCGCUGAUGGUCCACUUUGCAGAGAAAUAUGAGGGGCUCAUUGUACUGGUUAAUGUCUUCCCAGUGGUGAUGUAGAGCUGAUGUGGAGGCAACAGUGCUGCUUCCUUCGUCCUUCCUUUCUUCAAGACCUGCGUUUUUUGUCUUUUGCCAAACUUUAGGCAGUAUCUUAUACAGUAGAAACUAAGCCUAACACUUGAAGCCCCGUAGGCGUUGCUUGACUGACACCAAUCUGACGAGCUUGCUCAGCCGGUGGAAUCUCUUGUAUACAUGAAUAAGCAAACUGGACGUGUUCUUUCUGAACGUUAUUAAUUGUGGCUCACCACAAUGUUGAAGUGCAUACAGUAGCAGUACGCCAAGUCAGCAUUGUAUGCAAUAGUCAUUAACAGGAAUGAAACACGACAGAAGUUUAUCAUGCACACACCGAGCGUAGCGUUCAAAACUGUUUGUGUUCCCCUCCGCCAGGCAACACCUGUCAUCUGAGCAAAGGUUCUCCCACGUGUGACCCCCAAUUGCGUUGCAGUGCCAUUGUACAAUUACAGCAUCACAUUAUGUCUAACAGUCUUAUUGCUUUAGUACUUUUUUAUUAGAGGUGAUGUAACCCUUUCAUGGGGAAGGCAGUAGAAAAAGUAUUCAUCUAAAUUAUGUUUAUUCAUCAAAACAUCAAAUGAUGUUGUCACACUCAACAGAUUGGAUGAUGAGCAUUGGGCCUGUUUUUGUUUUGUGAUAUAUUUACAUUGUAGU